rnacentral:lncRNA from 1 species
ACUGCAGAAGAGGGAAGAAAGGAAAGAGGAAUCGAGAGGAGACGAAGAUAUCAAGGCUGGGUUUUAUUUUCUUCCUUUUGAUUUCUGUUUCUUUUCAUUCCUGCAUGGGUCUUUGUUCUAGAAUUUCGGAGUUGUAUUUGAGUGGGCUCUGGAAUUGAUUUUGGUCCUGCGUGGUUCUUUGUUCUAGAGUUUCGGAGUUGGAUUUGAGUGGGCUCUGGAAUUAAUUUUGGUUUAGGAUUAUAGAGAUAUGAAGAAGUAGGGAAUUGGUUUUGGUUUGGAUUUUGAUUUUGAUUUUGAUCGAGAUUAAGAUUUUAUUGAUUUGGAUAGGUCAUUGAAAGGGUUUUCAUGAUUUUGUUUUUACAGGCAGUGGAAGAGGCGAGUUUUGCAGUAGAAUCUCAGCCAAAACAGGAAGUUCUUAAUAGGAAGUUGCGAUACAAAGCUCCUAGAACUGCUGGAUUGUAGAAAUUGCUGAACAUCGAUGCUCUUUCAAAUAAAGUUCAUGUAU